CAGUCCUUCACCUUUUAUUUGGGGUGGGGGGGGGUGUCCCCAAUUCCCUUUUGGGGGCCUUUUGGGGCCAUUUAUUGGACAUUUGGGGCCAUUAUGGGGCCAUUUGAGUCCAUUUGGGGCCGUUUAUGGGAUUCUUGGGGCCAUUUGGGGCCGUUUAUGGGAUUCUUGGGGCCAUUAUGGGGCCAUUUGGGGCCAUUUAAUGGACAUUUGGGGGCCAUUAUGGGGCCAUUUGGGGCCGUUUAUGGGAUUCUUGGGCCAUUUGGGGCCAUUUAUUGGACAUAUGGGGCCAUUUUGGGGCUAUUUGGGGCCAUUUUGGGGCCAUUUGGGGCCAUUUGGGGUCCCUUCUUGCUGUCCCCACCCCAUUGAUUCCCCUAUAAAGACACACAGCUGUG
rnacentral:lncRNA from 1 species